rnacentral:lncRNA from 1 species
AAAAGAGCAAUGAGUUGAAUGAGAUUGUUUUGAAAUUUACAAAUGGGCAAAAGAUGUUGGAUAAUAUGCUUAAUUCACAAAAAUGUGUAUUUGACAAAGGAGGUAUUGGCUAUAAGCCAAAUUUGAAACAAAAGUAUUAUAAGAAUUACUUUGUGAAGAGUACCUCAAUUAACAAUCAAGUUGUAUGUCAUUAUUGUAAUCAAAACGGUCACAUGAAGCUUGGUUGUCCUAUUAAGAGAAAUGUAUAUUAUGGAGUCAAAUGUAUUUGGGUUCCAAAAGGAACUAAAUCUAACAUUCAAGGACCCAAGAGUAUUUGGGUACCAAAGGGCACAACGUGAAGGUUUUCUUUGUAGGUACCACAAUCAAGGAAUGGUGGAGAAGAUCCUUGAUGAAAUCUUGUGAGGAUAAUCCUUGAUGAAUUACAAGAUGAUUUAAUUGUUUUCGUAACAAUUCUUGUCAUAUUAAUUUUGUUGAAUGAAUCAUGAUAAAUGAAUUUGCGAAAGUAUGCUUGUAUGAUUACAUGAUGGAAUUAUCAUUGUGUAUAACAUUGAGUGAUUUCUCAUGAUGUCUUUGUUUGAUUUUGAUGAUUGUAUGGUCUUUGAUUUCAUCUUCUUAAUUGUCUAUCAUCAUUGUCCAUCUCUUAUGUAUAUGUGAAUUCAUAUGCCAUUAAUUGUGUUAUAUUAUUUAUAAAAUUCGCACUAAUUGCACUUGUGAAUUUGAUCACUUGUUCUUUACUCAUAAUGAUGGCUUAUCUUAAUAGCUAUGUUGAUUUUGAUGAUCUUAUAUUGCAAUUAUACACUUAUGUUUUGCUUAAGAUUUGAGAUAAAGAAUAUGCUUUGAUAAUUACAUGUAUUUGAGGAAGUUUGAUCUUAUGGGAUCUAUGAUUGGUGAAUGGAUGCAUUUUUUGUACUUUAUUGAUGUAUUAUCAAAUAUGCAUUACUUGCUUUAAAUAAUAUCGAAAAUGGGAGAAAUACAUAUACUUCGAGAAUUUUAAGCAUAUGAGAUUUUUUUUGUUAUAUUGAAAUGUCACAUUAGAUAUUUGAUGAGUUUAGUUGUCUUUAUUUAUAAAAUGUGAUUGGUAAUUAUGGAGCUUGAAUAUUUGAUAAUAUGCAUGCCAAUUUGGUAAAGAAAUCAAAACCUCUUUGCGAAGAGCAAUUUUCAAAAAUUAGGCAUGAACUUGGAAUGAUGAAAUUUAUAAAUAUCUCUAAUCAUGUUAUUAAUACUAUUAAAUUUGAUUUCUUGAUGAUUUUGAUGAUUGAUGAUUAUAUGUGUGUUGCUUAAUGAAUUGGUAAAGUUGUUGGUUUGUUAUAAUUGUUGAAGCUUAUAUCUUUUUAAUCACGUUGUGUAUUUGAGAAUUUGCUCAUCUUUAAGGGGAGAUAAAUAUGAUAUGUUUUUGGAUAAAAUCAUUUUGGUUAAAAUUUAAAUUUGGCCAUAUAUUUAGGGGAGCAUAUAAUAUGAUUUUGGAUAAUAUGCAUUUUGAAUUUUUUUGUUGUCCAAAGGGGGAGACAAAGUAAUAUAUCAUUUUGAUGUUAUCAAAAAAAAAAAAAGGAGAAUAAUAUGGACUUUUGAAUAUUGUUUUAAUGAUUAAUAUGUGAUUAUGGUGAUGAUUUUGAGAUAUGAUGAUGAUUUGAUUACAUGGGUGUUUUAUAUGAUAAAUUUAUGUUAUGAGUUGUUGACUUAGUAAUUGAUGGAAUAAUGGUUCAUGAUAUUUUUGUGUGAUGAUUUGUGUAUGGAGUUGGCAUGUAUCAUGAUUUAUAAUAUUUUGGGAGUAAUAUUACUAAACUUGUAUUUGAGGUAAUGCUUGUUGAUAGGGGGAGAAUGUGUCAAAAUUUCUACUCGGCUACAUGGGUAACAAAUUUGCUACUCUUUUUCUUUUCCACUAAGUUUUUCUUUUUGAUGAUGAGGGGGAGAAGAAUGCAUGUAUUUAAAUUUGUUAAUUUAGCUAAAUUGUAAGAGAAGCUUACAUUUAGGGGGAGCAAUUUGUGCAAUCAUUUUUUAAAUACAUGAAACGUUUGUCAUCAUCAAAAAGGGAGAGAUUGUUAACAUAUAUGUUUCCAUAAUAUUGUUUUUGAUGAUAACAAACAAGAUUAAGAAUGGUUAAUCUUUUAAGAUCAAAUUAUUUUUUAUACAUUUUAAAUAAAUCAUUAUUUUCACAUUUUAAAGGUUUUAUAUUUAAUGGAAAAAUGAUUUUAUGAAAUUGAUUGUUUUUAUUCUUUUUAA